AGUUCAUUCUUUCAGCCGUUUCUCUCUACCUGUCUCUCUCUCUCUCUCUCUCUCUAGACUUCCAAUUUCAGCAAUUUCACCUUCAAAUCAACCAGCAAUCUCGAUUUAAAUAAACCACAAAUGGAUUCGAAACAAUCAUCUCCGAAAGAGAAGGAUGCAGCGGUAGCGGUUAGUUCUCCACGUCUACGACCGGUAGUCCUGUAGCAGAGAACACGGUGGAUGAAACAAUGAAGUGUAUUCUCAAUCAAAUGCAGCAAAAGCUUCCGGUAUUUGAGAAAUUCAAACAAUUGAGCAACAAAGUGAUGGAACAUGGUGAAUUCAGGAAAAACCAUUGUUUUCAUCAUUCAUUAACCAAGCAUCCUAAUUUUUAUGCAACUGCAGGAGUCUGAAUCUUCUUCGAACACAAGAGAUAUGGAUCAGAGUAACAACAAUCCUUCAUUUUUUAAGCUUAUUGAGGAAGAUGACCCAUUAUUUUUGCAAAUACAUAAUGACUAUGCUUCAUUGAUGUGGGGAGAGCAACCACCUUACAAAGAAUCUGUUAAGAUUGUUGAUGGCAACAAGUUAUGGCUUGUAAGACUGAAAAAACUGAUUUGGGCUCUGUACUUGGUGAUGGCUUCACCAAAGUUGUUCGGGAUAGUUGUAUAAAAAAAUGACUAUCUUAUGUUUUAGUCCUUUGGACCAUCAUCAUUCUUUCCUUCGGUGUUAAAAUUAUUUGUUCAUGAAAAUUGUUUUAUAUCCAAAAUCACACCUGAGGAUAAACGUUAUUGUAAGUAGUAUAUAUUAUACAAUCAGUAUGUUUAAUAAUUUUUUCUUUCUGUAUAUUGGGUUUUUAAUUUUAAUUAUCACUACCUUUGCAAGUCAUGGCUGAUGAAUUUUGGAGGCAAUUUUAUGGGAAAAAUUUCAAAUGUGGUCAAUCAACCCUUUAUUUAGCAGAUAGAUUUUAUAACGUUAAGAUGGACGGAUUAACUGACAGCUGUGUUUUUACUCAUGGAUGUUCUGAGAUGGUAAAUUUAACCCUUUAUUUAGGAAAAAUUUCAAAGGUGGUCAAUCAACCCUUUUUUAGGUUUCAUUGUUUAUGCUGAUGUGUAUAAUUUUGUAAAAUAUAUUUUUUUUUUUUUUGCAAAUCUAACUAUGAUAUUUUUAAAAUUUGAAUAUUUGGGUUGUUUCUAAUAAAUUUUGUGCUGUUUUAACAUGUAUUAAUUAUAAUCCAUCAAAUAUUUUGUUAUUUCCUUAAAUUUUAGUAUUAUAUGGUUUUCCUAAAUUAAGGUAUCUCUUUAUAUAAAUAAAU